rnacentral:rRNA from 1 species
CCUACGGGAGGCAGCAGUGGGGAAUCUUGCGCAAUGGGCGAAAGCCUGACGCAGCCAUGCCGCGUGAAUGAUGAAGGUCUUAGGAUUGUAAAAUUCUUUCAGUAGGGACGAUAAUGACGGUACCUACAGAAGAAGCCCCGGCUAACUUCGUGCCAGCAGCCGCGGUAAUACGAAGGGGGCUAGCGUUGCUCGGAAUUACUGGGCGUAAAGGGAGCGUAGGCGGGUUAUCAAGUUGGAGGUGAAAGCCCAGGGCUCAACCUUGGAAUUGCCUUCAAAACUGAUAGCCUAGAGUAUGAUAGAGGUAAGUGGAACUCCGAGUGUAGAGGUGAAAUUCGUAGAUAUUCGGAAGAACACCAGUGGCGAAGGCGACUUACUGGAUCAUGACUGACGCUGAGGCUCGAAAGCGUGGGGAGCAAACAGGAUUAGAUACCCUGGUAGUCCACGCUGUAAACGAUGAUUGCUAGUUGUCGGACGGCAUGCCGUUCGGUGACGCAGCUAACGCAUUAAGCAAUCCGCCUGGGGGAGGUACGGUCGCGAGAUAAACUACAAAGAAGUAGACGCGUGAGAGUGCGACGGACGACGACGAGGGAGAGG